rnacentral:lncRNA from 1 species
AAGCUUGUUAUGAUGCAUCGUUGUCAUUAUCAUGUACCCUUAAUCAAGAUGAAAAUGUGGAUCCCCUUACAAUAUCAGGUAUCUUUCUUAUCUAUUUUAAGUUUCAACCUAAUGAGUCAGCAUUGUACAUGGGUACUGUCUUUUUAGUAAGAUGGAUUGUUUCCUUUGUUCAAAUAGCUAACCCAACUAAUAUGACACAAGAAGCUGUCUUGAAUAACAUCAAGGAAACAAGGCAGAUACCUCCAGUUGGGCUCAAAAAAAUUGACGGACGAACAAAGAGAGCAGAUAAACGCAAAGAGGCGGGCUUUUUAUCGAAAGAAAAGAGAUAUGCUUAUAGAAGAUGAAAAUCUUGCUCCACAUACAAUGACAAGUAAGCUUGUGAUAUGUUUGUGAAUAUCGUAAUGAUUUAUGCAAUGUCAUUAUUUUUGGCAUAUGUUUUCAUCGUAUUGUAUAACCAUCCAACCCAGCUAGCUGCGGUGUUACAUCAUCCUCACAUGACGAUGCAGCGUUGUCAUUAUCAACUACACUCAAUCGUUAUGAAAAUGUGCCUCCCCUUACUAUAUCAG